ACCAUUUUAAAAAUGACUGCUUUCAAAAUAAACUAGGGCAGGUGACCUGCUGGUGCUAGUUCAAGUGAUGUGCAUUUGUUUGGAAUACCGAUGGGGCAUUAGCCACACAUGUUGCUAGUUUAGGUUUAAGAAGAUGUUUCAGGUAAUGCACCCUGCCGUGAAAACGAGAUGCUCGUGCCCUCCAUCUUUGCAACAAAGAAAAUACGAAGUGUGACCUGAAAAUUCUACCAGUUACGCUAUUUCAUAUUUCCGUGUAUUUAUUUAUUUUUUUUACACAUUUUUUAAUCCAGGGCCUAUGUACCUUUCUAUCUUUCCCCUCGAACUUUUAUCUAAGACAUCUUAUGCAAGUCUUACUUCCUAAGUUGGGUUGAGGCUUUUGUCACAAGGCUUACAUGAAGAAGUAAUCGGCUCACUUCGAGAAGCUUGGCUGGUAAGCCCAUACACAAGCCGCCAUAUUGGAUUUUUGUGUACACUUUCCCCAAGACUGGUCGUCUUUCUCCUUAGCUGUUAGGACAAUAAUAAGGACAAUACUAUGGUUUGGAGGGGCCGGAUUGUUUGCAUCGUGUUGCUCUAAUCUGGUGCGAGGUUAUCCAGCUUUUAGAAGUAAGUAAAGGUAUUAUUUUUAUUGCAUUUUGAACGACACUUGUACAGUGUGAGCUAAGUUGUAUUAAGCUUGCUUACCCUGUACAUUGGGCAUGGUCGAUACUUGUAAGCUGAAAUAUAGCUCAGAUUGUUGUUGUGUAUUAGGAUCCAGAUCCCCUCCCGGUGUAAUGUAUUAGAACCCAGAUCCUCUCGGUUGUAGUGUCGUGCACGAGCUGUCAUGGCGGAAAAAGUUAUCGUUGUUGUUUGGUUCAAUCCAGUUGAAUUCUUUCUUAGCACCGACUAGUUCAGGACACAACAAUUGUGAUGUAAACUGCAGAGUUAAGAGUGCAUUUACCAGAGCCAAACGUUCCAAACUAGCCACGAAAUACAUACAUGCAAAGACAAUGACAUACUAGUUUUGUCUAUGUUCUUACACAUCCACUGCAGAGGAUUUAUGUAUUUAAGCUUAAGUUAAGGUGCUUUUAGGUAUGCUACGUUAAGUUUCAUUUGAAAUGUGUCACCAUACAUAUAGGGCCUCAUCCUUCAAACCUUAAUGUGGAUCAUGUGUGAUGGUAGACAAUGGGUUCAGGAUUCAUUAAAUGUACAUUGUUGUACAUUAAUUUAACCUAAAAAUUUUGCAACUGCAUGUAUUCUACACCAGUGCUUUUCUGUGGCUUGGUUAUAAGGCACAUCAGUAUGAAGAAAGAGCCGAGGAAAAUUAUGAAGAUAUGGUUAAAAAGCACAAAAAUGUACCAUGGUGGCCAAGGGCUCAACUUUUAGCAGAGAGAGCUGAAAGGUUAAAAGCUGAGAAGGAGGUUAUAUGUUGUCAAUGUAGGAUUUAAACCAAUAUUAAGCCUGAUUAAAACCUGGGUUUGUUGGUCUUUUUUGGACUGUGGGUGUGGGGAGGGUGUGAAAGUAGGUUUAAGGCAGAAUGGUUUUGCCCCUUCAUAACUUCAAGAGUAAAUCCAAGAUGAUGGUGUCAUGUGAUGUGAGACUUUGAUCAUGAUAAAUUUGAACAUCUGCCAUUUUUUUGAUCUUGUGGAUCUCAUGAUUGCAAAAAAGCACCAAACCUCAAAACCAGUAAAGAGGGUGCCAAAACAAAGAUGACAGUUAAGACAAAAUCCGAUAGAAAAUCAAGCAAUUUCAGUUUUAAGUGCACAAAAACCUUGUACCAGAAUAGUUUUAGGUAUUUUACAGUCCAUUUUACAUUUUCUUAAAGCUAAAGAUGCACAUGUAAGUACAAGCAGUUGCCUGAAAUUAACACGGAAAACAAUUUUCCAUGGGAACUCGAGAAAAUAAAUUUGCAAGUUCGGAGAAAUUGUGCUUGCAAACACAGGUAAGAUCUCAUCAUCAGUUUCAUUUCACCUGUACUUUCACUUGUUUCAUAAGAAGUUCACAAUGUGUUUUUGACAUAUGGUGUUGUUAGAAAUGAUAUUUUUUGAGAAGAUAUUUAAAAUAGUCAAACAGAAGUUUGCAUUACGAUGUAAGUAAUAUUGGUACAAAGUUUUUGUCCACUUGUUAAAUACUUGAAUUUCUAUUGGAUUCAAUCUGAAAUCUUUUCUUCAAAAAAAGGCAAGCACUCUUAUUUUGGAGAAAGAUUUGAUUUUCUUUUAAAAUUCUUGGGUGGUUGAUAGGGAAACAUGUUCUGUGAACAAUGCUGUCUUGUCAGAAAAUUUUCUGGACAAAUUUCAGGUUAUGUCACAAAGGUGAUACAUGUUUGGAAUCAAAGUCACAAAAUUUGUUAAUAACCAUUGAAAGGUAGGAAUGAGAGAGACGUGGAAAUGAGCGGCUAUUGCGGCAACAAACUAUUUUCGUUUGUGCAAUGGUCUUGCAAAGACAAUUUGCUGAAGCUACAAUGUACUGUGUACAAGGUCCAUCUUCGUGGUCUGUAUACAUGUGUAGAGUCAGACAGUUCAGAGUACCUAUCAGAAAUUUCCUUUUCAGCAUUCAUUAGCAUGUUAUUGAUAUAGUUAAGUAGCUUACAAAUGAUCAUGCAGCUUCUGGUGGAAACAGUACCAGUAAGGGUACAUACUUGUACGUGUAGUCUGUCCACACGUUUAUUUAUUUGCUUCGAGAUAUUUUUUUGUUGUGGCUCAAUCACAUCCCCUCCGCACAGUGCUGACAGACUAUGGGACACACAUUUCUCUUAUAACAUCACAGCAUUUUUACUAUCUACUGGUGUGUAACUGUGAUUUUUCAUUUCUCUACUUUGUUAGCUGCUCUAGCAGAAAUGGAAGAAGCAACUGCAUAAGAAUGAAGCCACAUUUCUGGGGAUCUUUUAGUUAGAACUUGACAUUUCUGAUGGAGACUUCUACACCAAAACUAUUACGUUAAUCUGUUGUAGCUAUCUGUUACACCUUGCAGCCUUUCAGAAUUAAAUGAUCUAACUAACUUUUGCAAUGUAAAUAUAAGAGGUUGGACUUGAAGUUAAUAAAAAUUGUAAUUUCUUUUA